rnacentral:rRNA from 1 species
UACGUAGGGUGCAAGCGUUGUCCGGAAUUACUGGGCGUAAAGAGUUCGUAGGCGGUUUGUCGCGUCGUUUGUGAAAACUCACAGCUCAACUGUGAGCCUGCAGGCGAUACGGGCAGACUUGAGUACUGCAGGGGAGACUGGAAGUUCCUGGUGUAGCGGUGAAAUGCGCAGACUAUCAGGAAGAACACCCGUGGCGAAGGCGGGUAGCUGGGCCAACACUGA